rnacentral:rRNA from 1 species
AGUGAACGCUGGCGGUAGGCCUAACACAUGCAAGUCGAACGGCAGCACAGUAAGAGCUUGCUCUUACGGGUGGCGAGUGGCGGACGGGUGAGGAAUACAUCGGAAUCUACUUUUUCGUGGGGGAUAACGUAGGGAAACUUACGCUAAUACCGCAUACGACCUACGGGUGAAAGCAGGGGAUCUUCGGACCUUGCGCGAUUGAAUGAGCCGAUGUCGGAUUAGCUAGUUGGCGGGGUAAAGGCCCACCAAGGCGACGAUCCGUAGCUGGUCUGAGAGGAUGGUCAGCCACACUGGAAGUGAGACACAGUCCAGACUCCUACGAGAGGCAGCAGUGGGGAAUAUUGGACAAUGGGCGCAAGCCUGAUACAGCCAUACCGCGUGGGUGAAGAAGGCCUUCGGGUUGUAAAGCCCUUUUGUUGGGAAAGAAAAGCAGCAGGUUAAUACCCCGCUGUUCUGACGGUACCGAAAGAAUAAGCACCGGCUAACUUCGUG